AUUGAACGCUGGCGGCAUGCGUAACACAUGCAAGUCGAACGGUGGAUGUUGCUUGCAGUAUCCAUAGUGGCGGACGGGUGAGUAAUAUGUAGGGAUCUGUCCUAGAGAGGGGGAUAACCAGGGGAAACUUUGGCUAAAACCGCAUAAUCUCGAGAGAGGAAAGCAGGGGACUGUGAAGGCCUUGUGCUCUAGGGUGAGCCUACGUCGGAUUAGCUAGUUGGUAGGGUAAAGGCCUACCAAGGCGAUGAUCUGUAGCUGGUCUGAGAGGACGGACAGCCACACUGGGACUGAGACACGGCCCAGACUCCUACGGGAGGCUG
rnacentral:rRNA from 1 species